rnacentral:rRNA from 1 species
UACGGAGGGUGCAAGCGUUUAUCCGGAUUCACUGGGUUUAAAGGGUGCGUAGGUGGGUCUGUAAGUCAGUGGUGAAAUCUCCGUGCUUAACAUGGAAACUGCCAUUGAUACUAUAGGUCUUUGAAUUUUCUGGAGGUAAGCGGAAUAUGUCAUGUAGCGGUGAAAUGCUUAGAUAUGACAUAGAACACCAAUUGCGAAGGCAGCUUGCUACAGGGAUAUUGACACUGAGGCACGAAAGCGUGGGGAUCAAACAGG